AGAAUCGUCAGUACCGCAAGACAUAUCAUCGACCACAUGAUUUGAUUUAGGGCCGUGCGUUUGUAGAGUUUCAUCAGCUUCAGUCCCUAAGUUUGAAUCCCCUGGAUUGUUGGGAGGUCCAUCCUCAAUAGGAACUGUAGAAUCAACUACCGGUAUGGUUUUGGCGGUGCUAUCUUGGUUUGAUGUACUUGGAUGAUUUUCAGACGGUUCAUAUCAAUCAAUCUCAGACGUUAAUUUUGUCAAUAAACCAGAUAACAGACAAAACAAGUGGGUACUGUUACCUCUCUGUUUUGUCUUCAGAACCUUCUGGAGAAAUCUCAUUGCUUGGUCUUGUGUGCUUCUCAAGUUUUCGUCUUGUCAUGCUCUUCCUACAAAAGACAACUCACAAGUGUUAAUUUGCAUCGUUCAAAAGACCCAAGUUCAAUCUUCAUGAGAGUCAUCUUGUUAUAACAUAUAGUUAACCUUUUCUUGAAUGCUAGUAAGGUUUCGUUAUCGGAUUCAUCAGCUGAAGAAUCAUCAUGGUCAUCUUGCAGCUUCAUGCCAGCUUCUGACUUCUUACCACGAGGGAGACGCAGCCCAAGUUGCUUUAAUUUACGUGAAACUUGGCCAGUGGUAUAUGUGUUCUCAGACCCCAAUUCAUUGGCAAUUAAAUAACAGCAGCGCCUUUCGUCCUUAAAUCUGCACAUAGACAAAUAUUUGGAAAAAAAAAGGAGUUAAUAAACCUGUUGCGCAUAGAGAGUUUAUGCAGAGGAGGCGAAGUUUGACCACUCACUUCUCGUAUAAUUCCUUAAUAAGUGUUUCUUGUUCUUUGCUAAAGGAACUCACUCUUUUUCUGCUGUUUCUGUUUCAAAAACAGAAGAUAAAAGUCAGUUAAGAGAAAAAUAAUGUAUAAGGUUUGGAAAUUCUGUAAACUUUUAGGAGAUACUCACGAAGGUUGCUGAUCUGAUGCUGCCUCUACGUGAUUUGGAUCAUCAUUUCCAUUACUGCCUUUACUUGCUUCCAUAGAGUUCGCACCACGCCGAAGUCUUUUCCUUGUUUCUAGCCCUAGCUGUUUAAGCUUGUUGGUUACUUGCGCAGCAGAUAUUCCACCAUUAGGAUCCAAAGUUUCGGCAAUAAGCCUGCUGCAAUCUUUAUCAUCUUUGAACCUGCAAAAACUUUUAUUUUAAUCAACCAAUUGAAUAAACUCUUAACUACCAUGGCUCACAUGUAAAAUUUUGAGUUUUACAACUUCCAGUCCCCUUAUGAAAUCCCAUGGAUCAAUACUUAUAUAUUUCAAAGCGAGAAAUAGCAGAAACUCCACACAGUGAUUUGUGUUAUUUACUUGAGUAACUAACUCGACACAUCGAACAAAACAUACCUUUCGUAUAGAUCUCUAAUUUUUGUCUCCAUGUCAGCAUCAAGAACAAGUCUUCUCUUUCUUUUAGAUGGUCCUGCAGAUUCAUUUUCUACAAUGUGAUCGUCCUCACUGCAGCAAGCAAAAAUCACAAACUUUGACAAAUAGAAAUGAACAGUUUCUUCAGCUAACAAGAAACAAGAGGUAUAUAAAGUAGUAUCACAAGGGGAAUUUUUCGAACUUUUGAAACCCUUGAUCAUAAGAUAUCACAACGUCAGCUUCAUCAUCCCCAAGAGCAUCUGCUAUGUUUCUGCGGGCCCAUCCUUUGUCCGAUGACGAAACAUUUUCUUGAGUUCCUGAGGCCUUUUCUUGAUUUCCCAUUUGUUUUCUUAGAUGGCCAAGUUCAUGCAACAUAUAUUCGGCAUUUAUGUAAUGGCAUUCUUUGCGACUCUUUGGGAAGAGAAUUUCCACAAAAAGAAGAGGCUGUGACUUCAUUUUCUUCAGCAUAUUUCUAACCAGAUCUGUCAGGAAGGUAACUAUGUUUUCAUAGUCUUUACUGGGACAAGCUUUCUGCUCAUCAAGGAUCUUAUGGAACGUUAUAAGCAGUGACAGCUGGAAAAAAUAACACAAUAAAACAGUGAGGAAGCUGCAAAGUAAUAAAAAGAAACUUACAAUUUGGGGUGUGAUUUAAUACACUAACCUGAUACAACAUGGGAGACAGUUCCAGGUCUUCUGUAAUCCUCCGCAAAAUGCUUAUUACGUGGUGAUUCGUCUGUUUUGUGUUGCUUUUGUAAAACUUAAGUAACCAGCAUAUGUUUUGAAUGAUGCUGUUGUUUGCAAAAGCAGAAAUAAAUGUGGAAACCUUAAAAUCAACUUCAUCUGUUGCAGUUUGGUCUUCUCCAUCAGAAGAAUCGUCAGUACCGCAAGACAUAUCAUCGACCACAUGAUUUGAUUUAGGGCCGUGCGUUUGUAGAGUUUCAUCAGCUUCAGUCCCUAAGUUUGAAUCCCCUGGAUUGUUGGGAGGUCCAUCCUCAAUAGGAACUGUAGAAUCAACUACCGGUAUGGUUUUGGCGGUGCUAUCUUGGUUUGAUGUACUUGGAUGAUUUUCAGACGGUUCAUGCAAUGUGGCCUCCUUAUUUC
rnacentral:lncRNA from 1 species